GCCCGCUUAGCUCAGCUGGUAGAGCACCAUCCUUGUAAGUUGGGGGUCGUUGGUUCGAAUCCGACAGCGGGCU
rnacentral:tRNA from 1 species